rnacentral:rRNA from 1 species
UACGUAGGGGGCAAGCGUUGUCCGGAAUCAUUGGGCGUAAAGCGCGUGUAGGCGGCUUGAUAAGUCUGCUCUGAAAGCCCGGGGCUCAACCCCGGGAGGCGGGUGGAUACUGUCAAGCUCGAGUCCGGAAGAGGAGUGUGGAAUUCCUGGUGUAGCGGUGAAAUGCGUAGAUAUCGGGAGGAACACCAGUGGCGAAGGCGACUACCUGGCCUGUUCUUGACGCUGAGGCGCGAAAGCUAGGGGAGCAAACGGG